UUGGCCUACGGGGCGCAGCAGUGGGGAAUAUUGCACAAUGGGGGAAACCCUGAUGCAGCAACGCCGCGUGAAGGAAGACGGUUUUCGGAUUGUAAACUAUUGUCGUGAGGGAAGAAGAUGACAGUACCUCAGGAGGAAGCUCCGGCUAACUAUGUGCCAGCAGCCGCGGUAAUACAUAGGGAGCAAGCGUUAUCCGGAAUUAUUGGGUGUAAAGGGUGCGUAGACGGGAAAUUAAGUUAGUUGUGAAAUCCCUUGGCUUAACUGAGGAACUGCAACUAAAACUGAUUUUCUUGAGUACUGGAGAG
rnacentral:rRNA from 1 species